rnacentral:tRNA from 1 species
UGGCAAGAUGGCCGAGUUGGUCUAAGGCGUCAGGUUAAGGUCCACCUUAACUCAAUAACUGUUCUCAGUUUCCUGAUCUACGUUUGUAGGCGUGGGUUCAAAUCCCACUCUUGUCACUUCUUA